CGUACGGGUGGCAGCAGUGGGGAAUAUUGGACAAUGGGGGGAACCCUGAUCCAGCCAUGCCGCGUGUGUGAAGAAGGCCCUCGGGUUGUAAAGCACUUUCAGUGAGGAAGAACGCCUGGUGGUUAAUACCCAUCAGGAAAGACAUCACUCACAGAAGAAGCACCGGCUAACUCCGUGCCAGCAGCCGCGGUAAUACGGAGGGUGCGAGCGUUAAUCGGAAUUACUGGGCGUAAAGCGCGCGUAGGUGGCUUGAUAAGCCGGUUGUGAAAGCCCCGGGCUCAACCUGGGAACGGCAUCCGGAACUGUCAAGCUAGAGUGCAGGAGAGGAAGGUAGAAUUCCCGGUGUAGCGGUGAAAUGCGUAGAGAUCGGGAGGAAUACCAGUGGCGAAGGCGGCCUUCUGGACUGACACUGACACUGAGGUGCGAAAGCGUGGGUAGCAAACAGGAUUAGAUACCCCUGUAGUC
rnacentral:rRNA from 1 species